UACAGAGGGUGCGAGCGUUAAUCGGAAUUACUGGGCGUAAAGCGCGCGUAGGCGGCUUUGCAAGUCGGGUGUGAAAUCCCCAGGCUUAACCUGGGAACUGCAUUCGAGACUGCAUUGCUAGAGUAUGGGAGAGGGAAGUGGAAUUUCAGGUGUAGCGGUGAAAUGCGUAGAUAUCUGGAGGAACACCGGUGGCGAAGGCGGCAUUCUGGACCGAAACUGACGCUGAGGCGCGAAAGCCAGGGGAGCAAACGGG
rnacentral:rRNA from 1 species